GGCUGGUCCAAUGGUAGUGGGUUAUCAGAGCUUAUUAACAUUAGUGUCACUAAAGUUGGUAUUCAACCCCCCACUGCUAAAUUUGACUGGCUAGAA
ensembl:misc_RNA Y_RNA Y RNA